rnacentral:rRNA from 1 species
AUUGAACGCUGGCAGCAUGCCUUACACAUGCAAGUCGAACGGCAGCGGACCUUCGGGUGCCGGCGAGUGGCGAACGGGUGAGUAAUAUAUCGGAACGUACCUUUCAGUGGGGGAUAACGUAGCGAAAGUUACGCUAAUACCGCAUAUUCUGUGAGCAGGAAAGCAGGGGAUCGCAAGACCUUGCGCUGAUUGAGCGGCCGAUAUCAGAUUAGCUAGUUGGUGAGGUAAAGGCUCACCAAGGCGACGAUCUGUAGCGGGUCUGAGAGGAUGAUCCGCCACACUGGAACUGAGACACGGUCCAGACUCCUACGGGAGGCAGCAGUGGGGAAUUUUGGACAAUGGGCGCAAGCCUGAUCCAGCCAUGCCGCGUGAGUGAAGAAGGCCUCGGUU